AGUGAACGCUGGCGGCGUGCCUAAUACAUGCAAGUCGAACGGAGUGGCGCACGGGGGAGUAAAGUAUAGCUAAUCUGCCCUACACCAGAGGACAACAGUUGGAAAAGACUGCUAAUACUCUAUAGUGUAGGAUGAGGCUAUAUUGUAUCAGCUAGUUGGUGAUGUAAUGGCUCACCAAGGCUAUGACGAAUAACUGGUCAGAGAGGACGAUCAGUCACACUUUAACUGAGUCACGGUCCAGACUCCUACGGGAGUCAGCAGUAGUGAAUAUUGCUCAAUGGGCGAAACCCUGAAGCAGCAACGCCGCGUGGAGGAUGACUCUUUUCGGAGCGUAAACUCCUUUUGUUAGGGAAGCGGUACCUAACGAAUAAGCACCGGCUAACUCCGUGCCAGCAGCCGCGGUAAUUC
rnacentral:rRNA from 1 species